rnacentral:rRNA from 1 species
CGAGGGGCAGCAUGAACUUAGCUUGCUAAGUUUGAUGGCGACCGGCGCACGGGUGAGUAACACGUAUCCAACCUGCCGAUGACUCGGGGAUAGCCUUUCGAAAGAAAGAUUAAUACCCGAUGGCAUAGUUCUUCCGCAUGGUAGAACUAUUAAAGAAUUUCGGUCAUCGAUGGGGAUGCGUUCCAUUAGGUUGUUGGCGGGGUAACGGCCCACCAAGCCUUCGAUGGAUAGGGGUUCUGAGAGGAAGGUCCCCCACAUUGGAACUGAGACACGGUCCAAACUCCUACGGGAGGCAGCAGUGAGGAAUAUUGGUCAAUGGACGAGAGUCUGAACCAGCCAAGUAGCGUGAAGGAUGACUGCCCUAUGGGUUGUAAACUUCUUUUAUACGGGAAUAAAGUGAGGCACGUGUGCCUUUUUGUAUGUACCGUAUGAAUAAGGAUCGGCUAACUCCGUGCCAGCAGCCGCGGUAAUACGGAGGAUCCGAGCGUUAUCCGGAUUUAUUGGGUUUAAAGGGAGCGUAGGCGGACGCUUAAGUCAGUUGUGAAAGUUUGCGGCUCAACCGUAAAAUUGCAGUUGAUACUGGGUGUCUUGAGUACAGUAGAGGCAGGCGGAAUUCGUGGUGUAGCGGUGAAAUGCUUAGAUAUCACGAAGACUCCGAUUGCGAAGGCAGCUUGCUGGACUGUAACUGACGCUGAUGCUC